rnacentral:rRNA from 1 species
AGUGGGGAAUAUUGGACAAUGGGCGCAAGCCUGAUCCAGCCAUGCCGCGUGUGUGAAGAAGGCCUUUUGGUUGUAAAGCACUUUAAGCGAGGAGGAGGCUUACCUGGUUAAUACCUGGGAUAAGUGGACGUUACUCGCAGAAUAAGCACCGGCUAACUCUGUGCCAGCAGCCGCGGUAAUACAGAGGGUGCGAGCGUUAAUCGGAAUUACUGGGCGUAAAGCGCGCGUAGGCGGUUUGUUAAGUCGGAUGUGAAAUCCCCGGGCUCAACCUGGGAAUUGCAUUCGAUACUGGCAAGCUAGAGUAUGGGAGAGGAAGGUAGAAUUCCAGGUGUAGCGGUGAAAUGCGUAGAGAUCUGGAGGAAUACCGAUGGCGAAGGCAGCCUUCUGGCCUAAUACUGACGCUGAGGUGCGAAAGCAUGGGGAGCAAA